GCGGAACAGCCAGCAUCAGUCAAGCUCACAGGUGACUUCAACUCUCUAGCCUCAGGACUUCCAUCUGAGGCCCCAGACGCCACCUUGGAGCUGAGCCAAGUCAAUCCCGUCAUGCCCUGCGUUGCCAGCCCACAGAACCAUGAGACAGUAAAGGAGAGCUGUCAUUUUAAAACACUAAGCUUCAAGGUAAUUUGUAGCGCAGCAAAGAUAAGAGAAGCAAUGAGAGCGGUACACUCAGCGCUGAAGGAGCCAGGAUUCCCACAUCAUCUUCCUCCACGCCCCAUCUGUGAUUGAUGGUGUCCUCUCUGGAAGAAGUACCUGCUGCAAGGGUAUUGAUAGAUAAACAGAGAACUGAAGGUCAAAUCAGCUUUUGGAUGAUUUGUUUCCCCCCAAAUCAGACAGGAACCAAAACAACAAAGACAAAUGUGAGUUGGAGGAAGCAGGAGCGAAACCAGACGAAACUCUUUUGAAACAGUAACAUUGUUGCUUGCUGGAUUAGGUAAGAAUAGAUUCUUGCUCCCUGAAGCCAGAAUCAAGAACUUCGGGAAGAUUAGCAGUGAUGAAAGAGUCAAGGGGCCAAGCAAUGGCUCGGUGGGUAAGGAUGCUUGCUGCACACGCAUGAGCUGAUUCUGCAUCACCAGGAUCCAUGUCAAAACCAGGUUUCCCCCUCGUGACCGAAGUUUCUGGACUGUGUACAUGUCCCUGUCCCACCCAUCCCUGAGCUUUAAGGAAGGAAUGCCAAACACAAUCAGAAAAGGUCACCAUCUGGUCAGCGGAAAGUUUUUGAUAUGGUAGCAAUGCCAUCUCUGGAACUUCCGAUCUGUGGGUUCUGGAUGUCAGCCAUUUUUAGUAACCAGAGAUUGCCCUGGGGUGGUGACAGAGGACAAAGUGUGGGCUGGAUGAGCCCAGACAGCAUGCUGAGCACCGUCAUGGAGGAGACAGAGACAUGGAUGCUGGACACUCAGGGUCAACUAUCACUCUGCUGUUGCACACACAACAGAAGCCAAAGCCUGAAUAGGAAGUGCCGGGAUCCUCUAGUUCCCACUUCCUGUGAGCUGUAAGAGGCGUUUGGAGGAAGCAACCAAGUUCAUGCAGAAUUCUAUGAUUACCAGGACAACUAAGCCCAGGCUAUUCCACAAGUCAGGACGAUGGGGACAACCCAAAGCGGUGAUUCAUUCCUGUAAUCCUAGCAUUGGGGAGGAGGCAGGAGGAUCAGAAAUUCAAGGUCAUCUUUUCUACAUUGGGAGCUCAGGGCCAACUUGAGCUAUGUGAGACAUUGUCUUUUUUUUUUUUUUCUUUCUAAAACAUUUUAUUGAAUAAUAACAAAUCCACAAGCAGUGGUUUCACUGGUAGUCAUCUGUCAGAUAGCUCCGCUUUCCUUAAUGACCCUGGCCAAGGCAAACAGGCCAUUCCAACAUAAUUACUAACUCUUAGCUGAUACAUUAAACAUAAGUUUAUAACUUACUAACAACAUAAGUCAUAUGUAACAUAUCUCUAUCUACCUCUAUCCCUAUAUCUAUAUAUUACAGGCUAGCUACCAAGAGUUAAGGUGGCAAACACUUGACAAGCCAGAGUUGGGAGACAGCUGGGAAGUCAUAGGAGUCUGUAGGGUGAGAUAACAAAGGACCCUGAGCCCUCUGGACAGGCACUGAAGUCAUGAUUGGAUUUGACUGCAGGGUCAUGGUUGAGCUGUAGAGUUGAGUUCCACUGCAGAGCCUAAAAGGCAAGACUGGGUCCAGAUGAAUGGAUGAGCAAUUGCACUGGAUGGCAGCGCAAGAUGGAUCAAUAAGAGGAUGGUAGAUGGCAACUUGAGUAAUCUGUGGCAAAGUGGGGACCAGGCUGAAUCGAAGGCAUUGGGACUUCAGGAAUUCUUCACCCAUUAGACCCUCGAUGCACCUGUGUGGUUCUUCGUGCUGUGCUGGGCCUCUUUCUACCACUUGUUUUUGAUGCCUCUUUGCUGAUCUCUUGUGAAUUGGAUGUCUGGGCACACCUCAUCCUUGCUCUUAGUGUCUUGGUCACCUCCUUCACGUUCGUAGAUGAGUCAUCUUUCCACAAAGUCCUCCUGCUCACCGCCUUGAGCUUCUCUUGAACUCCCUGUCCAGGUGAAGCCACUCCUGCUGAGACGACCAUCAUCUCAUCUUGACGGGGCUUUUUUUUUUUUUUCCCUGCCGUCUUCUUUUGGAAUUUGACCAGUUCGGACGUUUUUUUUCUUCUUGCUUUCUUGUUUGCAGGUGUGCAGGGUACUUCCUGGGUCAUUGCCAGGUCAUUUGCUGCUGGAGAGUCAUCUUUUACCACUGACUCGGGUCCUGAGGGACUGUGGGGCAUCUCUCGAGAGUCUUCCUUAUCUUUUCUCUGGUGAUCUCUGGAGGACACUGGAGUGGUUUUUCCUUCCUGAAUGCAGCCAGGGAGAGGCACAGCUCGGGGAGAAGGACUGGGCUGCUCAUCCAGGACCUCAAUGAUUGGCUGUGCGGUUGCUCUGGGGUCACAGACUCUUGGUGCUGAGGACAGAUGACUUGGCAGCUGUAGUCUCCCCUCCCCCAGCCUGAAACCUGCUUGCUCAGGGUGGAGCUUCCUGCUCAUUCGUUCUGCCACGCCCACUGCUGGAACCUGAGGAGCCACACACGUGCACCUUUCUACUGGACCCGAGAUUAUUCGGCGGGAAUCGGGUCCCCUCCCCCUUCCUUCAUAACUAGUGUCCCAACAAUAAAAUUUGAGCUUUGAUCAGAAUGAAUUUGUCUUAGCUCCGUUUCUUCUUUCGCCCCGUCUAGAUUCCUCUCUUACAGCUCGAGUAGCCUUCUCAGUCGAACCGUUCAUGUUGCGAGCUGCUGGCGGCUGCAACAGGCAGCGAU